rnacentral:rRNA from 1 species
UACGUAGGGGGCAAGCGUUAUCCGGAUUUACUGGGUGUAAAGGGAGCGUAGACGGCGACGCAAGCCAGAUGUGAAAGCCCGGGGCUCAACCCCGGGACUGCAUUUGGAACUGUAUAGCUAGAGUGUCGGAGAGGCAGGCGGAAUUCCUAGUGUAGCGGUGAAAUGCGUAGAUAUUAGGAGGAACACCAGUGGCGAAGGCGGCCUGCUGGACGAUGACUGACGUUGAGGCUCGAAAGCGUGGGGAGCAAACAGG